ACGUAGGGUGCGAGCGUUAAUCGGAAUUACUGGGCGUAAAGCGUGCGCAGGCGGUUAUUUAAGUCAGGUGUGAAAGCCCUGGGCUUAACCUGGGAACUGCGCUUGUAACUGGCAAGCUAGAGUGUGGCAGAGGGGGGUGGAAUUCCACGUGUAGCAGUGAAAUGCGUAGAGAUGUGGAGGAACACCGAUGGCGAAGGCAGCCCCCUGGGCUAACACUGACGCCCAUGCACGAAAGCGUGGGGAGCAAACAGGA
rnacentral:rRNA from 1 species